rnacentral:rRNA from 1 species
GAUGAACGCUAGCGGCAGGCCUAACACAUGCAAGUCGAGGGGUAACAGAGAGAAGCUUGCUUUUCUGCUGACGACCGGCGCACGGGUGCGUAACGCGUAUACAAUCUGCCUUAUACAGAGGGAUAGCCUUUAGAAAUGAAGAUUAAUACCUUAUAGUCUAUUUUUAUAGCAUUAUAUAAAUAGUAAAGCUUCGGUGGUAUAAGAUGAGUAUGCGUCCUAUUAGUUAGUUGGUAAGGUAACGGCUUACCAAGACAACGAUAGGUAGGGGCCCUGAGAGGGGGAUCCCCCACACUGGUACUGAGACACGGACCAGACUCCUACGGGAGGCAGCAGUGAGGAAUAUUGGACAAUGGAGGCAACUCUGAUCCAGCCAUGCCGCGUGCAGGAUGACGGCCCUAUGGGUUGUAAACUGCUUUUAUAUAGGAAGAAACCUUUUCACGUGUGAGAAGCUGACGGUACUAUAAGAAUAAGGACCGGCUAACUCCGUG